rnacentral:rRNA from 1 species
AUUUUUUUUUUGUUAUUUUAGGUUUAAAAUUUUUAAAAUUAUUUAAAUGUUUAAAUUCUUUUGUUUAAAUUAAAUUUUAAUGGUUUUGUAAAAGAUAAAAUUUAAUUUUUUAGAAGUAAAUUUUUUUAUUGUACCUUUUGUAUCAGGGUUAAUUAAUUUUUUAAAAUUAUUUUUUUUUCUCGAAAAUUUAAGAUUUUAAUUUAUUUGAUUUUAAUUGUUUCAUAAAUUUUAAUUAAAUAAAUUAAGUUUUGAUAAAAAAAUCGUUUAAUUAAUUAUCUAGUUGUUUUGGAUUUAAAUUUAAUUUAGGAUAUAUAUAUAAACAUUUUAAAUUUAAUAUUUUUUUAUAUUUUUAUUUCUAAUUUAAUUUAGGAUAAGCUAAUUUAAUUUCUAUAAUUUUUUUUAAUUAAAAGCUUUAGUAGAAUUAAAAUCUUUUUUCUUUAAAAGUUCGUUUCAGAUUAAUCUUUUGUUGUUAAAUAUUUAGGGUUUUACAAUUUUUUUAAAAUUAAUAAUGUUUUUUAUUUAUAAUGAUUAAAUUAGUAAAUUUAAUAUUUAAUUUUAUGAAUUCGGCAAAAUAAUUUUUUGACUGUUUAUCAAAAACAUUUCCUUUUGAUUUUUUAAAAGGUAAAACCUGCUCAAUGAAAAUUUAAAUAGCUGCAGUAAUUUAACUGUACAAAGGUAGCAUAAUAAUUAGUCUUUUAAUUGAGGUCUAGAAUGAAUGGUUUAACAAGAGAAAAACUUUAUUAAUUUAAUUAAAUUUUAAUUUAAUUUUUUAGUUAAAAAGCUAAAAUUUUUAAGUGGGACGAUAAGACCCUAUAGAUCUUUAAUUUUUAAAAUUAUUUUUUAUUUGGGUAAUUAUUAAUUAUAAUGUGAAAAAAAAUUUUGGUUGGGGUGACAUUAAAAUUUUUAAAACUUUUAAUUAUUUUAUCAUAAAUUAAAUGAAUAUUUGAUCUAAAAUUUUUGAUUAAAAGAUUAAGAUACCUUAGGGAUAACAGCGUAAUAAAUUUGGAUAGUUCAUAUUAAUAAAUUUUGUUUACGACCUCGAUGUUGAAUUAAUUUAAAAUUUUGAAGCAGAAAUUAAAUUUUUUAGGUCUGUUCGACCUUUAAUUAAUUACAUGAUUUGAGUUCAAACCGGCGUAAGCCAGGUUGGUUUCUAUCUACUUAAAAUUUAUACUUAUUUAGUACGAAAGGACUUUUAAGCUGGAAAAACUUUCU